AAGCUUGAAAAUAACUUCCAUAUAUUAGCUUGAAAAUAACUUUUGCGUGGGCCUAAGCCACUUUUAACCCACUUAAAAAUAUUAUUUAAAAUAUUUAAAUAAUUAAAAAGAAAAGCGUGGGAUAAAGAAGAGUCGUUUCCCUCCUCACUCUUAUUUUCGCAUUCCACUUUGCAUUUUCUCACUAAAGCUUUCGCAUUCCACUCAUUUUGCAUUUUCUCGCUCAAGCUUUCGCAUGUGUGCUUCGCGUUCCCAACACUGGCUCACGAGGUUGCCGCUGUGACGUGUGAGCUUUGGGUCAUAUUCAGUCCCCAAAACCCUCGUUUUUUUUUUCUUUUGGGUUGAUGAUGGCCAACGGUGAAUAUGGGUGAUGUUUUUCAUGUUUUGAAAUUAUCGUUUGAGAUUAUUGUCGUAUUCCCAUUUUUGUUGAGGGUGUGUGUGGCUUCUGUGUGACAAUGUGCGAAGGGGAAAAGUUAGGAAGUAGUAAAUUUGAUAUUCUUUUGAGAGUUUGAAAUACAACCCUUAAUAGUGGUGAAUGUUUCAAUAAACUAGAGACCGCGAACCCACUAAACUUUCGACUUUUUGACACUCUCAGGUUUAACCUCUUUCACCUUUGUUUCCUUGUUUUUCCCUUUUCAAAGGGCUUUGUUUUCGGUGGUUUUUUAUUUUUUAUUUUUUUAUUCUUUUAGAGUUAAAUAUGCUUUUAGUCCUUCAAGUA
rnacentral:lncRNA from 1 species